rnacentral:rRNA from 1 species
UACGUAGGGUGCAAGCGUUGUCCGGAAUUAUUGGGCGUAAAGAGCUCGUAGGCGGUUUGUCGCGUCUGCUGUGAAAACCCGAGGCUCAACCUCGGGCCUGCAGUGGGUACGGGCAGACUAGAGUGCGGUAGGGGAGAUUGGAAUUCCUGGUGUAGCGGUGGAAUGCGCAGAUAUCAGGAGGAACACCGGUGGCGAAGGCGGGACUCUGGGCCGAUACUGACGCUGAGGAGCGAAAGCGUGGGGAGCAAACAGG